GGCCUCCUGAAGCUUACCACAGAUGGUACACCGCAGUACCGGCUGUAUAGAAACAGGAGGGACAGUAACCCGCCCCGCACGUGCGCUCCGCCGCUCGCCCGGCGGAGCCGUCCUGUGGGGCAGAACA
rnacentral:snoRNA from 1 species